GACGAACGCUGGCGGCGUGCUUAACACAUGCAAGUCGAACGCGCCUGUCCUCUGGGUUUCUGGGGGGUGGGUGAGUGGCGAACGGGUGAGUAACACGUGAGUAACCUGCCCCCUUCUUCGGGAUAACGGUCUGAAAGGGCUGCUAAUACCGGGUAUUCACUGGUCUCCGCAUGGGGUCUGGUGGAAAGGUUUUUUUCUGGUGGGGGAUGGGCUCGCGGCCUAUCAGCUUGUUGGUGGGGUGAUGGCCCACCAAGGCUUUGACGGGUAGCCGGCCUGAGAGGGGAACCGGCAACAUGGGGACGAGAUUCGGGCCCGGACACCGACGGAAGGCAACAGGGGGAAACAUGGCACAAUGGGGGCAGGCCGGUGGAGCGGCCGCCGCGGGAGGGUGGGGGGCGUUCGGUUGGUAAACCUUUUGCGCCGUGGUCAAGCCGCGACGUGGGUCGUGGUGAGGGUAGUGGGUAAAGAAGCGCCGGCUAACUACGUG
rnacentral:rRNA from 1 species